UUAGCUACAAAUUAUUGAUUGAUUUGGUAAGUAGUCGUGCAAUUAGCAUGAUAAUGUGACAUAAAUGUUUUAUAUUUGUUUCUGGCUGCCCAUCCAUUACAGGAUUAACACUUUCCUACUGCUGACACUAAACUAAAUAAAUAUUUGGAUGCUACAAACAAAGUUUGUAACAUAUCAACGUAAAACACUUUCAGAUUUAUCCUCUAACAACUCCAGGUGUGCUGCUGUACGUGGGUCUGCCUCUGGUGGUCCUGGUCCUGGUCCUGGUCUCUCUGUCUCUGCUGAUACUCUGCAGGAGGAGGAGGUCUAAAGCCAGAGGACGUCCCGUGGAAACCGAGUACGCUGUCACAGAGACCAGCCGAGUGUACGAGGACAUCAGAGAGGACGGACUGUCUCCUCCUGUAGAAAUCUCUUCAGUUUACUCUAGCGCCAAAUACUCCAAACCAAGCGCUGCUGAGACCAACGAUGACUACAGCGUUAUCACUGCAGCUAACCUUCAAAAUACAGCUGAAGAUGACUCUGAUGCUGCCCCCCCUGAAGAUGAUCCACCCGUCUACUCUACUGUUCAUUAGCUCCAACUCUGCCGCAGCCGUCCACACCCAGAACUACAACCAGAACUAGAAAUAUGUAUUUUUAAAUCGUUCUAACUCCACCACAAGUGUAACACCAGCAAGAGUAGUGAAUGUUAUCGUUGGGUAGGGCUGCUCCAUUAGGGAAUAAUCCUAAUCAAGUUUAUUUUAGUCAAUAUGGAAAUCAGGAUUAUUUAACAGGAUUACUUUUGGAAAGAAGUUGUUUAUUAUUGGAAUUGAAAUCAACAGUGAAAAAACCUUCAACUGGGACAUUUCCCUUAAAAUAAAUAAUAUAAAAAUAUAUUUAAAUGUUUUCAAGAAAGAACACAGGACAAAAUAAGAGUUUUCUCACAAGCGUAAUGUGCAGAAUGAUUGUUUUUCUUUCUUGAUGUAGAUUGUUGUGAUCAUUAGAUAUAGACUGGAUUAAUAACCCAGCCCUGUGUUUGAGAUCACUGUCACUGACAGCCAAUCAGAAUCAAUCUGCAUCUCCUGGAUGUCUGAGUGCUGUCGGCCCCACAUUAUCUUUCAUUCAUCUGAUCUUAUUCAUAAGAAGAUGAAGAAUAAGAAACAGUUGAAAUGUAUUCGCUGCUGAGCGUCUCUAAGACCUUCGUAUUCCUGAGUCACGAUUCAGACAUGACUUAAAUAUUGGUUUAAAACACUAGAUUUAUGAAUGGGUCUUUAAAAUCAGAAGACUCUCCUAACAGAGUUUGUUGGAUUCUCCAAACUUGAAUGUGUGAACCCAAAGCCUUUUUCUUUAUCUGCACAACGUAAAAAAGAAAUGUGUAAUGAAUCUGUGUGUUGUAGACCCCUGACACAGCAGAUCCUCCAUCAGGGUGGACCCUCACAUCGUUAUCGUUAUGGUUACGGUAGUCUUCCUCCACAGCGCUGCGGAGGAAGGUCUGGCUAGUCCUCACAGCAUUCCUUGAUGGAGAAAAACGUGCUCUGG